rnacentral:tRNA from 1 species
UUUCUUUUAGCUUAAAUUAAAGCGUUAGUUUGAAGCACUAAAGUUAACAUUAGUUAGAGAAGC